AGGAAUGAAAAAGUCUGUUCCUCUUUCUCUGUAGUUUUAAAGCAAUAAGCAGCAUACAAAAGUUAACAGCAACUAUUAUUCACUGGCCCUCCCAGUAAGGAAACAAAGGAGUGUGGGAUGCAGAUUCUGCAGCAGGUGGUGCAUGGGUGCAGUGAGAGCAUGCUAGGGACAAUGGCACUGACAGCUUGCCAGUUCAUGGAAGAACCCGGAAUGGCAGUGCAGAGGCAUUAAUCUAAACAUCCUUCUAACAACAAUAGCAAGUUUGAGGAUAAAGUUCACAUUCCUGGUGCUAUCUACCUCUCCAUCAAAUGUGACUCUCAGUGUAAUACAGAAGAGGACUGUGAUGAGUUGCUCAUGUCCAGCAGCAGUGAUUUCCAGCAGGAUCGACUCAGCUUCCGUGGGUCUCCACAGAAGUGGAAUGACUUUGAAC